rnacentral:rRNA from 1 species
GACGAACGCUGGCGGCGUGCUUAACACAUGCAAGUCGAACGGUGAAGCGCCUUCCUUUUUGGUGGGUGUGGAUGAGUGGCGAACGGGUGAGUAACACGUGAGUAACCUGCCCCCUUCUUCUGGAUAACCGCAUGAAAGUGUGGCUAAUACGGGAUAUUCUGGGUCUGUCGCAUGAUGGGUCUGUGAAAGAUAUUGUUUCGGUGGGGGAUGGGCUCGCGGCCUAUCAGGUUGUUGGUGGGGUGAUGGCCUACCAAGGCGGUGACGGGUAGCCGGCCUGAGAGGUAGGACGGUCACACUGGGACUGAGACACGGCCCAGACUCCUACGGGAGGCAGCAGUGGGGAAUAUUGCACAAUGGGCGCAAGGCUGAUGCAGCGACGCCGCGUGAGGGAUGGAGGCCUUCGGGUUGUGAACCUCUUUCGCCAGUGAAGCAGGCCUGCCUCGUUUGUGGGUGGGUUGACGGUAGCUGGAUAAGAAGCGCCGGCUAACUACGUG